GUAGGGAAUCUUCCACAAUGGACGAAAGUCUGAUGGAGCAACGCCGCGUGAACGAUGAAGGCCUUCGGGUCGUAAAGUUCUGUUGUAAGGGAAGAACAAGUGCCGCAGGCAAUGGCAGCACCUUGACGGUACCUUGCGAGAAAGCCACGGCUAACUACGUGCCAGCAGCCGCGGUAAUACGUAGGUGGCAAGCGUUGUCCGGAAUUAUUGGGCGUAAAGCGCGCGCAGGCGGCCUCUUAAGUCUGAUGUGAAAGCCCCCGGCUCAACCGGGGAGGGCCAUUGGAAACUGGGAGGCUUGAGUAUAGGGGAGAAGAGUGGAAUUCCACGUGUAGCGGUGAAAUGCGUAGAGAUGUGGAGGAACACCAGUGGCGAAGGCGACUCUUUGGCCUAUAACUGACGCUGAGGCGCGAAAGCGUGGGGAGCAAACAGGAUUAGAAACCCUAGUAGUCC
rnacentral:rRNA from 1 species